GACGAACGCUGGCGGCGUGCCUAAUACAUGCAAGUUGAGCGGUGAAGGUUGGUACUUGUACCGACUGGAUGAGCAGCGGACGGGUGAGUAACGCGUGGGGAAUCUGCCUUUGAGCGGGGGACAACAUUGGGAAACGAAUGCUAAUAACGCAUAAAAACUUUAAACACAAGAUUUAGGUGUGAAAGAUGCAAUUGCCUCACUAAAAAGUGAUCCCGCGUUGUAUUAGCUAGUUGGUGAGGGUAAGGCUCACCCAGGCGGUGGUACAUAGCCGACGUGAGAGGGUGGACGGCCCAAUUGGGACUGGGACCAGGCCCAAACCCCCUCCGGAAGCCGCCGUAGGGAAUCUUCGGCAAUGGGCGAAAGUCCUACCCCGGACCUCCGCGUGAGGGAAAAAGGUUUUCGGGUCGUAAAAGUCUUUUUGUAGGGAAGAACGUUCGUGAGGUUGGAAAGCUCCUGAAGUGACGGUACCUACCGAAAAAGCAACGGCUAACUACGUG
rnacentral:rRNA from 1 species